AUUGAACGCUAGCGGCAUGCUUAACACAUGCAAGUCGAACGGUAGCAGGUCUAGCUUGCUAGAUGCUGACGAGUGGCGGACGGGUGAGCAACGCGUAGGAAUUUACCUUGUAGUGGGGGAUAACUUGGGGAAACCCAAGCUAAUACCGCAUAAGCCCUAAGGGGGAAAGCGUGGGACCGAAAGGCCACGUGCUAUGAGAUGAGCCUGCGUCGGAUUAGCUAGUUGGUAGGGUAAAGGCCUACCAAGGCGUAGAUCCGUAGCUGGUCUGAGAGGACGACCAGCCACACUGGGACUGAGACACGGCCCAGACUCCUACGGGAGGCAGCAGUGGGGAAUAUUGGACAAUGGGCGCAAGCCUGAUCCAGCAAUGCCGCGUGUGUGAAGAAGGCCUGCGGGUUGUAAAGCACUUUCGGUGGGGAGGAAGACCUGAUGGUUAAUAGUCAUCAGGAUUGACGUUACCCACAGAAGAAGCACCGGCUAACUCUGUGCCAGCCGCCGCGGUAAAAC
rnacentral:rRNA from 1 species